rnacentral:rRNA from 1 species
ACAGCAGUCGCCGCGGUAAUACGAGGGGUGCAAGCGUUAAUCGGAAUUACUGGGCGUAAAGCGUGCGUAGGCGGUUUGUUAAGUCUGUUGUGAAAUCCCGGGGCUCAACCCCGGAACUGCAUCCGAUACUGCCAUGCUAGAGGAUUGGAGAGGUAGCUGGAAUUCUUGGUGUAGCAGUGAAAUGCGUGGAGAUCAAGAGGAACACUCGUGGCGAAAGCGAGCUACUGGACAAUAACUGACGCUGAGGCUCGAAGGCCAGGGUAGCGAAAGGGAUUAGAUACCCCAGUAGUCCCUGUCUCUUAUAC